GCGUUAAUCAAGUAGACCGUUUAUGACUUCAAAUUGUUCAUUGAAGUCCCAAUUUACAUUAUGAAUCAGUAAGAGGGUUAAACAACCACGUGAAAGAUGCAUGAAAUCAAAUAUAUUGUAGUUACACAAGGUUAAUUUUGAUAUACAUCUCCACCUAGACAGGAACAUUCAUAAACAAAAUUAUUAUAUCCAAGGUGAUUCACAAGCUAUGUUGCACCAACAGUUUGCUGGAGACAGCAUGUCAGUGUCCAACCGAACAUCGACAUGCGCUGGACGAGUCUCACAAAUACCACAUGGCAUGUCUUUUUUCAGAUCUCACAAGUUCAUGGACAUGACAAAAUGCAACAAGUGCUCUGAAAAAAUAGAGAAAAACUAAACCUACCAGCAAAUGCAAUGAAAAAUGCCAUGGUUGACAAGUGAAGUGGAAAUAACUAUCGCCGGGUGACUGUAGUGUAAGAGAGACACGGAGACACCCAAGCUCUUAGCAUUAUUUUCAUAUAGACAGACAGCACUUGAAAGUUGAAACCCUAAGGAGAAAAUUUUAUGUUUUUUAAAAAUAAAAAAUGCGCCCACAUUUUUUUCUUAAUUUUAAAAGUGGGUCAAUCAUGUAUGAAGUUUAAUGUCAAGUUUGAUUUAUAUUCAACUAGAGUUUUAAAUUAAUUGAUAAAUAGAGUCCAAUUACUGAAAAUAGAAACAAUGUAGCAUUCAAAACUUUUAAUACAUGUAACAUUGUGUUAAUACUAAAGUGUUAGGCUACUUGAGAUUGCUAACAUAUCACUCGAUGAGCCAGUGUUGGAGUUUGUAUUGUUAAUGAUAAUGAAAAAGCUGAUGGUGAUGGUGAUGGUGAUGGUGUUGAAGCAAAUGAAGUUGGAACAUUUAAGGAUUGAAGAUAAUAUCAUUUAGUAUUUUAUUUUAUUGUUAUUGUCAAGCUUGUAUUUUAAUUAUUUUAUAAUAAUGAAAUUAAUGCUGUAUUUUAUGAUUUAACUUAUGAAAAAUAUUACAUAUUUAUGUAUACACACGCACAUGCGUAUCCUAAUUUUUUGAACAGUUGUAACCGCAUAGCCAUAUCGUAUAUGAAACCGUGCUUCUUAGUUCACAAGCAUCAAAAUGGAGUAGGAAAUUUGCCUUCAUAAAUUCGAAAGUACCAAGACUAAAGUGAAAUCCUAAAAACAGCUAUGAACAAUUUAUGGAGACAAUUUCCUCUAUGAUGCGCUUGGAUUUUGGGCAAUGGGUUUUUAAGGAAUUUCUGAUCUGUAGAGUUGAGAGUUAUUCUGUAAUCAUUCUCGUUAAAUGGCUCUGUUUUCUACAUUGUGAGAAUUCACUAAUGAACCAAGCACAGUAAAUCUUUGGCGUGUUCAUGUACAUGCAUUAUACCUUUGUUAGACUCUUAUUUAUAAUCUGUUUAAAACUCAACCAAAUCAAUUUUUUAUCCACAUAUUUCAUAAGACCCAGAAGUAGUGCCCACUUAUCUACCACUCAAUUCUAUCUAUUUAUAAUUUAAACUAAUUAUAAACAACUUUCAAACAUGCCAUUACUCUUUUCAUGUGCCUUAAAGUGGAUAUUUUGCAAAAGCAUUUUUUAAGUUGUUAGAAAGCAGUAAACAAAAAUAUACGCAUGCAAAAACAUACAGAACAAAGCAACUUAGCAACCUAAAGAAAUUCAAAGACGGAUAUGAUGAAA
rnacentral:lncRNA from 1 species